rnacentral:rRNA from 1 species
AUUGAACGCUGGCGGCAGGCCUAACACAUGCAAGUCGAGCGGAGCGGCGGACGGGUGAGUAAUGCCUAGGAAUGUGCCUGGUAGUGGGGGAUAACGUCCGGAAAGGGGCGCUAAUACCGCAUCCUAUCAGAUGAGCCUAGGGCGGAUUAGCUAGUUGGUGGGGUAAAGGCAUACCAAGGCGACGAUCCGUAACUGGUCUGGGAGGAUGAUCAGCCACACUGGAACUGAGACACGGUCCAGACUCCUACGGGAGGCAGCAGUGGGGAAUAUUGGACAAUGGGCGAAAGCCUGAUCCAGCCAUGCCGCGUGUAUGAAGAAGGCCUUCGGAUUGUAAAGCACUUUAAGUUGGGAGGCGUUACCAACAGAAUAAGCACCGGCUAACUCCGUGCCAGCAGCCGCGGUAAUAC